AUAUACAUAUCAAACCCCUUCUCAUUGCUGAGUGGUUUGGAUGUGGGGGUUUUUGCUGGCCUCUUAAAUGAGUUCAGCUCCCCUGAAAUGCAUUAGCAGAGCGAACCUGUUCAUUGGCGUGAUAACUAUCUGCGCUAUUGAAUGUGAGGGACAGUUCAGCUUUCAAAUGGUCCUUGGACAAUUUAUCAUUU
rnacentral:misc_RNA from 1 species